CCUACGGGAGGCAGCAGUGGGGAAUAUUGCACAAUGGGGGAAACCCUGAUGCAGCGACGCCGCGUGAGUGAAGAAGUCUUUCGGUACGUAAAGCUCUAUCAGCAGGGAAGAAAAUGCCGGUACCUUACUAAGAAGCCACGGCUAACUACGUGCCAGCAGCCGCGGUCAUACGGAGGAUGCGAGCGUUAUCCGGAUUUAUUGGGUUUAAAGGGUGCGCAGGCGGAAGAUAAAGGCAGCGGUAAAAUUGAGAGGCUCAACCUCUUCGAGCCGUUGAAACUGGUUUUCUUGAGUGAGCGAGAGGUAUGCGGAAUGCGUGGUGUAGCGGUGAAAUGCAUAGAUAUCACGCAGAACUCCGAUUGCGAAGGCAGCAUACCGGCGCUCAACUGACGCUCAUGCACGAAAGUGUGGGUAUCGAACAGGAUUAGAUACCCCUGUAGUC
rnacentral:rRNA from 1 species